ACUCCUACGGGAGGCAGCAGUAGGGAAUCUUCCACAAUGGGCGCAAGCCUGAUGGAGCAACACCGCGUGAGUGAAGAAGGGUUACGGUCUCGUAAAGACUCUGUUGUUAAAGAAGAACACGUAUGAGAGUAACUGUUCAUACGUUGACGGUAUUUAACCUAGAAAGUACACGGCUAACUAACGUGCCAGCAGCCGCGGUAAUACGUAGGUGGCAAGCGUUAUCCGGAUUUAUUGGGCGUAAAGAGAGUGCGGGGCGGUUUUCUAAGUCUGAUGUGAAAGCCUUCGGCUUAACCGGAGAAGUGCAUCGGAAACUGGAUAACUUGAGUGCAGAAGAGGGUAGUGGAACUCCAUGUGUAGCGGUGGAAUGCGUAGAUAUAUGGAAGAACACUAGUGGCGAAGGCGGCUACCUGGUCUGCAACUGACGCUGAGACUCGAAAGCAUGGGUAGCGAACAGGAUUAGAUACCCUGGUAGGAUAGCC
rnacentral:rRNA from 1 species